CAUUUGGAGAGCAAGGUGGGCCAAUACGCCACUCCUCAGUUUAUACACAACUGGGAGAAAUAAGGUCCAGGCCAGAGUUUUUUGGAACGGUCUCCAACCCACUGCUCAGCUGCAGAUAAUCAGCUGUAGCAGUGGGAAUAAACCUCUCCCUGCUAGGCAGGUAAAGGGGGAUUGCUGGCUUCCUCCCUGGAAGCAGGUAGGAGAGAGGCUGUUCUCUCUAGUGAGAGAGUCAU